rnacentral:rRNA from 1 species
AUUGAACGCUGGCUGCAGGCCUAACACAUGCAAGUCGAACGAGUGGCGGACGGGUGAGUAAUGUCUGGGAAACUGCCUGAUGGAGGGGGAUAACUACUGGAACCGGUAGCUAAUACCGCAUACCAUCGGAUGUUCCCAGAUGGGUUUAGCUAGUAGGUGGGGUAACGGCUCACCUAGGCGACGAUCCCUAGCUGGUCUGAGAGGAGGACCAGCCACACUGAAACUGAGACACGGUCCAGAGUCCAACGAGAGGCAGCAGUGGGGAAUAUUGCACAAUGGGCGCAAGCCGGAGAGAGCAAUGCCGCGUGUAUGAAGAAGGCCUUCGGGUUGUAAAGUACUUUCAGCGGGGAGGCGUUAACCGCAGAAGAAGCACCGGCUAAAUCCGUGCCAGCAGCCGCGGUAAUUA